rnacentral:rRNA from 1 species
AUGAACGCUGGCGGCGUGCCUCAUACAUGCAAGUCGAGCGAACAGACGAGGAGCUUGCUCCUCUGACGUUAGCGGCGGACGGGUGAGUAACACGUGGAUAACCUACCUAUAAGACUGGGAUAACUUCGGGAAACCGGAGCUAAUACCGGAUAAUAUAUUGAACCGCAUGGUACAAUAGUGAAAGACGGUUUUGCUGUCACUUAUAGAUGGAUCCGCGCCGCAUUAGCUAGUUGGUAAGGUAACGGCUUACCAAGGCAACGAUGCGUAGCCGACCUGAGAGGGUGAUCGGCCACACUGGAACUGAGACACGGUCCAGACUCCUACGGGAGGCAGCAGUAGGGAAUCUUCCGCAAUGGGCGAAAGCCUGACGGAGCAACGCCGCGUGAGUGAUGAAGGUCUUCGGAUCGUAAAACUCUGUUAUUAGGGAAGAACAAAUGUGUAAGUAACUAUGCACGUCUUGACGGUACCUAAUCAGAAAGCCACGGCUAACUACGUG